UAGGGAAUCUUCGGCAAUGGACGGAAGUCUGACCGAGCAACGCCGCGUGAGUGUAGAAGGUUUUCGGAUCGUAAAGCUCUGUUGUUAGAGAAGAACGGUGGUAGGAGUGGAAAAUCUACCAAGUGACGGUAACUAACCAGAAAGGGACGGCUAACUACGUGCCAGCAGCCGCGGUAAUACGUAGGUCCCGAGCGUUGUCCGGAUGUAUUGGGCGUAAAGCGAGCGCAGGCGGUUCUUUAAGUCUGAAGUUAAAGGCAGUGGCUUAACCAUUGUACGCUUUGGAAACGGGAGGACUUGAGUGCAGAAGGGGAAAGUGGAAUUCCAUGUGUAGCGGUUAAAUGCGUAGAUAUAUGGAGGAACACCGGUGGCGAAAGCGGCUCUCUGGUCUGUAACUGACGCUGAGGCUCGAAAGCGUGGGGAGCAAACAGG
rnacentral:rRNA from 1 species